CCCGGCCCCUUGGGACAGAGCUGACUGCUGCUAAUGUGUGGGGCAUUCAUACUGGAGCCCUCUGCUGCCCUUUGACCUGGGACCACACCUCCCUGAGCAGAGCGGGCCUCCAGAGAGGAGCUGAGACCGGAACCGUGAUCACAGCCAGCUGCCUUCUGGGGUCCUGGGGUUUCCCCCAGGAAAGCACACUACCACCUCCCUCGAGGACAGUCACGACUGGCUGCACCAGGGACUGACUCAGGUGGAGUGGCCCACCAUGAGCCCGGCUCUGGCAGCUGAGCUGUGACCAGGGUAGCACAUGGCACUACGCUGGGCUUGCUGACCUCCAGAGGCGACCUGGCCAGGUCAGUGGUCCUUUGCUGCACUUUAGUUUGGGAGAAGGUAAACCCUAAGUUGUUUAAGGAAAUUAAAAAAACCCUGAAACUAGAAGAAAAAGCCCUUAAAAUCGUCUGCUUUUUAGGGAUGACAGGAGCUCACUGAUUCAUCUCGUUCCUGGGUGCCUGUCCUGGGCCAAGCAGAGGGACAACCAUCCAAGCUGCCGCUGCCACCCUCACCCAGCCCCCCACCCGGCUGCCCAGGCUGGUGGUGGACGCUGCACACUUACAUCUAUGAUCAGAUACUCCACGGGCAGCGGCCGGGCCAGCUGGGUGAUCUCAUUGCCAAACUUGUCUAUGUCCUGAAACAGGAAACAGAAGUGAGCAGGUGGCCGCCCUGUGCUGCUUUCUGCAGCAGUCAGGCUAGGCCCAGCUUUCUGUGGCUCUACCAGCUUGGACGGCGGCGGCCCGAGACACGAGCUGGCUGAGUGGGUCCUGGGGCCCCAGAAGUGGCAGUUUCUCGAUGAAGGAGACAUGGGAGCAAGCCUGUGGGAGAGGCAGAGCCUGAGGUCUCCGGUGCCCUGGCACCUGCCACGGCCGUGUCUGCAGACAGCGGCACCACCACCGUGAUAUCUUGGAGAAGUCCAGGGAGCCAUGUCUGUGCUUGUGCCAGAACAAGGGCAAGCGCCACUGACCAGGAGUGCCAUCUUGCUUGGAAAAGACUAAUGGAAUCCCCACUGUAUUGUUCUUCUUUCAAAACAACUGGCAAGAAGGGUUAACAAAUGACGCCAGCCAGCAGCUUGAUUUGACUUCAAAGAAAAAAAUCAAAGUUCUCAGAACAGAGUUUCUCAAAGAAUCACUGUCUAGGAAACAGUCCAGUCGAUAAGCACUAAAGUGUCUCUCGAUGCAAAAAGAACCAGCAGCUGACAUAUAUUAGGCGCCGGUGGUAAACAGUCCAGGCUAGACAUGUGUCUACAACCACCAGUCCUCAACGCAUGAGGACACCAAGGGCUACCAGGUGAUUCAUGUGCCUGAGAUCGAGAGCCUGGUAGGGGCAGAGGGGGUUAGAGACCCGGUCCACCCACAUCUCAACUCAGGAGCUCAGCAUCGGAACUGGGCACUCUCCUCCUCCACCCAGUGCUGGCGCCAUGAGGUCACACAUUCCAGCCCCACUCCUCCCCUUGUAGGGACUCUGUAGCCACAGACCCCGGUCCUGACACACUCGUGCUGAGCAAGACUUGCUACCUCCAACUCAAGGGAAAGAAUAGGUGCCACGGGUGCCACAAAAUCCUUGUUCCUAGACAGGGGUAUUAUGCCAAUACAUUGUUCAGAAUCUCUUAUUGGCAAUCUCCCUUCCUCCCUCCCUCCCUCCCUCCCUCCUUCCUUCCAUCUCUCUCUCUCUUUCUUUCCUUUCUUUUAAAGAUUUUACUUAUUUAUU